rnacentral:rRNA from 1 species
AGGAAUAUUGGUCAAUGGGCGCGAGCCUGAACCAGCCAAGUAGCGUGAAGGAUGAAGGUCCUACGGAUUGUAAACUUCUUUUAUAAGGGAAUAAAGUCACCCACGUGUGGGUGUUUGUAUGUACCUUAUGAAUAAGCAUCGGCUAACUCCGUGCCAGCAGCCGCGGUAAUACGGAGGAUGCGAGCGUUAUCCGGAUUUAUUGGGUUUAAAGGGAGCGUAGACGGGCCGUUAAGUCAGCUGUGAAAGCUUGAGGCUCAACCUUAAAAUUGCAGUUGAUACUGGCGUCCUUGAGUACGGUUGAGGCAGGCGGAAUUCGUGGUGUAGCGGUGAAAUGCUUAGAUAUCACGAAGAACCCCGAUUGCGAAGGCAGCCUGCUAAACCGCCACUGACGUUGAGGCUCGAAAGUGUGGGUAUCAAACAGGAUUAGAUACCCUGGUAGUCCACACGGUAAACGAUGGAUACUCGCUGUUGGCGAUAGACUGUCAGCGGCUUAGCGAAAGCGUUAAGUAUCCCACCUGGGGAGUACGCCGGCAACGGUGAAACUCAAAGGAAUUGACGGGGGCCCGCACAAGCGGAGGAACAUGUGGUUUAAUUCGAUGAUACGCGAGGAACCUUACCCGGGCUUGAAUUGCAGACGAAUUGCUUGGAAACAGGCAAGCCGCAAGGCGUCUGUGAAGGUGCUGCAUGGUUGUCGUCAGCUCGUGCCGUGAGGUGUCGGCUUAAGUGCCAUAACGAGCGCAACCCUCGUGUCCAGUUACUAGCAGGUUAUGCUGAGGACUCUGGACAGACUGCCAUCGUAAGAUGUGAGGAAGGUGGGGAUGACGUCAAAUCAGCACGGCCCUUACGUCCGGGGCUACACACGUGUUACAAUGGGGGGUACAGCAGGCAGCUACCGGGCGACCGGAUGCCAAUCCCGAAAGCCUCUCUCAGUUCGGACUGGAGUCUGCAACCCGACUCCACGAAGCUGGAUUCGCUAGUAAUCGCGCAUCAGCCACGGCGCGGUGAAUACGUUCCCG